rnacentral:rRNA from 1 species
UACGUAGGGACCAAGCGUUGUUCGGAUUUACUGGGCGUAAAGGGCGCGUAGGCGGCAAUUCAAGUCAUCUGUGAAAUCUCCGGGCUUAACCCGGAACGGUCAGGUGAUACUGUUUUGCUAGAGUGCGGAAGGGGCAAUCGGAAUUCUCGGUGUAGCGGUGAAAUGCGUAGAUAUCGAGAGGAACACCAGAGGUGAAGACGGGUUGCGGGGCCGACACUGACGCUGACAGCGCGAAAGCCAGGGGAGCAAACGGG